AACCACGUCUCGUUCCAGUGCGCCUCCGUCGAGGAGUCCGUCGGCUUCUACCAGCGCGUGCUCGGCUUCGAGCUCGUCAAACGCCCGGCGUCCCUCGACUUCGGAGGAGCAUGGUGAGCAGCCAUUUCGUACUGUUGCCCUGCUACCUCCGAUGGAAAUGAAUGCUUGUUUGAUGUUUAUUUGGGCAAGGCAAAACAUUAUUGCAGGCUGCACAAGUAUGGCAUGGGGAUACACCUGCUGCAACGUGGCUCGGAUUCCAACGCACCGGCGGCGGCGAGGCCGCCGGCGAUCAACCCCAAGGGCAACCACAUCUCCUUUCAGGUGACCUUCGCAGUUACUUUCAGUACAAUUUCAGCGCCCUCGUCAGUCGACAGCUAACAGG
rnacentral:lncRNA from 1 species